rnacentral:rRNA from 1 species
GAUGAACGCUGGCGGCGUGCCUAAUACAUGCAAGUCGAGCGAAUUGAUUAGAAGCUUGCUUCUAUGACGUUAGCGGCGGACGGGUGAGUAACACGUGGGCAACCUGCCUGUAAGACUGGGAUAACUUCGGGAAACCGAAGCUAAUACCGGAUAGGAUCUUCUCCCUCAUGGGAGAUGAUUGAAAGAUGGUUUCGGCUAUCACUUACAGAUGGGCCCGCGGUGCAUUAGCUAGUUGGUGAGGUAACGGCUCACCAAGGCAACGAUGCAUAGCCGACCUGAGAGGGUGCUCGGCCACACUGGGACUGAGACACGGCCCAGACUCCUACGGGAGGCAGCAGUAGGGAAUCUUCCGCAAUGGACGAAAGUCUGACGGAGCAACGCCGCGUGAGUGAUGAAGGCUUUCGGGUCGUAAAACUCUGUUGUUAGGGAAGAACAAGUACGAGAGUAACUGCUCGCACCUUGACGUACCUAACCAGAAAGCCACGGCUAACUACGUGCCAGCCGCCGCCGUAACAC